rnacentral:rRNA from 1 species
ACUACAUGUACAGGAUAGGUGGGAGGCUUUGAAACCAGGACGCCAGUUUUGGCGGAGCCAUCCUUGGGAUACCACCCUUGUAGUACUGGGACUCUAACCAUAGGCCAUGAAUCUGGUCUUGGGACACUGUCAGGUGGGCAGUUUGACUGGGGCGGUCGCCUAGAAACAGGUAACGGAGGCGCUCAAAGGUUCUCACAGUACGGUGGGAAAUCGUACGUAGAGGGUAAAUGCAAAAUAGAGCGUGAUUGCAAUACAUACAGGUCGGGCAAGGAGGAAAAUCGGAUUUAGUGAGCUGGUUGUUAUGCCUGUAAGGGCCAUACCUCAACGGACAAACGCUACCCCGGGGAUAACAGCCUGAUCUCCCCAAAGAGUCCACA